GACGAACGCUGGCGGCGUGCCUAAUACAUGCAAGUAGAACGCUGAAGAGAGGAGCUUGCUCUUCUUGGAUGAGUUGCGAACGGGUGAGUAACGCGUAGGUAACCUGCCUGGUAGCGGGGGAUAACUAUUGGAAACGAUAGCUAAUACCGCAUAAAAUUGAUUAUUGCAUGAUAAUUAAUUGAAAGAUGCAAUUGCAUCACUACCAGAUGGACCUGCGUUGUAUUAGCUAGUUGGUGAGGUAACGGCUCACCAAGGCGACGAUACAUAGCCGACCUGAGAGGGUGAUCGGCCACACUGGGACUGAGACACGGCCCAGACUCCUACAGGAGGCAGCAGUAGGGAAUCUUCGGCAAUGGGGGGAACCCUGACCGAGCAACGCCGCGUGAGUGAAGAAGGUUUUCGGAUCGUAAAGCUCUGUUGUAAGAGAAGAACGGGUGUGAGAGUGGAAAGUUCACACUGUGACG
rnacentral:rRNA from 1 species